GCCGGGUGUGGUGGCUCACACCUGUAAUCCUAGCACUUUGGGAGGCCGAGGUGGGUGGAUCAUCUGAGGUCAGGAGUUCGAGACCAGCCUGGCCAACAUGGUGAAACCCCAUCUCUA
ensembl:misc_RNA Metazoa_SRP Metazoan signal recognition particle RNA